rnacentral:misc_RNA from 1 species
CCUUUGUCUUUCUGCCUAGGCUGGUUUUUGGUCUCGUGUCAGGGAUCGCAAAAAUUUUUUCUCAAUUUUCUGUUAGUUCUCUACGAUUUUGCUUUCGAUUAUGGAGAUGGAGCGCGUAACGGAGUUUCCUCAGGCGCACUUGGAUCACCGUCCCAGGAAGAGGGUGCGUUUGGGCUGGGACGUUCCUCAGGUACCUAAGGUUCAGGUAGGAAUAUUUUGUGGACAAGAGGUUGGGAAUGUA